GUGCCAGCCGCCGCGGUAAUACCGGCAGCCCGAGUGAUGGCCGAUUUUAUUGGGCCUAAAGCGUCCGUAGCUGGCCGCGCAAGUCUGUCGGGAAAUCCACCCGCUUAACGGGUGGGCGUCCGGCGGAAACUGUGCGGCUUGGGACAGGAAGGCUCGAGGGGUACGUUCGGGGUAGGAGUGAAAUCCCGUAAUCCUGGACGGACCGCUGAUGGCGAAAGCACGUCGCGAGGACGGAUCCGACAGUGAGGGACGAAAGCCAGGGUCUCGAACCGGAUUAGAUACCCCUGUAGUCC
rnacentral:rRNA from 1 species